ACACGUAAACAACCUGCCUUCAGGAUGGGGACAACAGACGGAAACGACUGCUAAUACCGAAUAAGUUCCAAGAGCCGCAUGGCCCAUGGAAGAAAAGGUGGCCUCUACUUGUAAGCUAUCGCCUGAAGAGGGGUUUGCAUCUGAUUAGCUGGUUGGAGGGGUAACGGCCCACCAAGGCGACGAUCAGUAGCCGGUCUGAGAGGAUGAACGGCCACACUGGAACUGAGACACGGUCCAGACUCCUACGGGAGGCAGCAUG
rnacentral:rRNA from 1 species